rnacentral:rRNA from 1 species
AUACGUAGGGUGCGAGCGUUAAUCGGAAUUACUGGGCGUAAAGCGUGCGCAGGCGGUGAUGUAAGACAGAUGUGAAAUCCCCGGGCUCAACCUGGGAACUGCGUUUGUGACUGCAUCACUCGAGUACGGCAGAGGGAGGUGGAAUUCCGCGUGUAGCAGUGAAAUGCGUAGAUAUGCGGAGGAACACCGAUGGCGAAGGCAGCCUCCUGGGCCAGUACUGACGCUCAUGCACGAAAGCGUGGGGAGC